GCAAUGCUAGUUUGUCAAGCUUCCAAAAUGAUUACUAGCAUCAAAAAUAUUUUUGCAAUCUUCUGCAUUGUUUUGGUCAUCAUGAACACAGGUGUAACGAGUGAACAGGUUAUUGUUCGCUCUAAAAUCUGCCUUGGCACAGGGUCUUGUCCAAAUAAUGAUGCACAUUGUUCCAAAUUUUGUGCAGUAAAGAGUUAUUCUAAAGGUGGAAAUUGUAUUGGAAAUGUAUGCUGUUGCGAUAAAUAGCUAUAUGUUGGAUAAUUGCAACUAUUCUCAAAUAAUGUAUUUGCUUAACACUAUAUGCAAAUAAGACUGUAUUAUUUCCGUACAGGAAAAUUGAGAAAAAAUAGAAUAUUUUAAUUUUCAUUACAUUUUAUAUUUGCAUUUGUAUGAGUUUAUGGAAUACAAAUUUAUCAUUUA